AGAGUUUGAUCCUGGCUCAGGACGAACGCUGGCGGCGUGCCUAAUACAUGCAAGUCGAGCGAGUCUGCCUUGAAGAUCGGAGUGCUUGCACUCUGUGAAACAAGAUACAGGCUAGCGGCGGACGGGUGAGUAACACGUGGGUAACCUGCCCAAGAGAUCGGGAUAACACCUGGAAACAGAUGCUAAUACCGGAUAACAACAGAUGAUGCCUAUCAACUGUUUAAAAGAUGGUUCUGCUAUCACUCUUGGAUGGACCUGCGGUGCAUUAGCUAGUUGGUAGGGUAACGGCCUACCAAGGCGAUGAUGCAUAGCCGAGUUGAGAGACUGAUCGGCCACAUUGGGACUGAGACGCGGCCCAAACUCCUACGGGAGGCAGCAGUAGGGAAUCUUCCACAAUGGACGCAAGUCUGAUGGAGCAACGCCGCGUGAGUGAAGAAGGGUUUCGGCUCGUAAAGCUCUGUUGUUGGUGAAGAAGGACAGGGGUAGUAACUGACCUUUGUUUGACGGUAAUCAAUUAGAAAGUCACGGCUAACUACGUGCCAGCAGCCGCGGUAA
rnacentral:rRNA from 1 species